UACGGGGCGCAGCAGACGCGAAACCUUCGCAAUACGCGAAAGCGUGACGAGGUUAAUCCGAGUGACUCCCGCUGAGGGGGUCUUUUGUCAGCUGUAAAUAGGCAGGCGAAUAAGGGGAGGGCAAGCCUGGUGUCAGCCGCCGCGGUGAUACCAGCUCCUCGAGUGGUCGGGGCGAUUAUUGGGCCUAAAGCAUCCGUAGCCGGUUCCGUAGGUCCUCUGUUAAAUCCAACCGCUCAACGGUUGACCUGCAGAGGAUACCGCGGGACUAGGAGGCGGGAGAGGCGGACGGUACUCCGCGUGUAGGGGUAAAAUCCUUUGAUCCGCGGGAGACCACCAGUGGCGAAGGCGGUCCGCCAGGACGCGCUCGACGGUGAGGGACGAAAGCAGGGGGAGCGGACCGGAUUAGACACCCGGG
rnacentral:rRNA from 1 species